ACGCUCGACACCUACAGGAGGCAGCAGUGGGGAAUAUUGCACAAUGGGGGAAACCCUGAUGCAGCGACGCCGCGUGAGCGAAGAAGUAUUUCGGUAUGUAAAGCUCUAUCAGCAGGGAAGAAACUGACGGUACCUGACUAAGAAGCACCGGCUAAAUACGUGCCUGCAGCCGCGGUAAUCUGAGCGGGCUGGCAAGGC
rnacentral:rRNA from 1 species